rnacentral:misc_RNA from 1 species
AAAAAAAAAAAAAAAAAAUCCCCCUUGCAUGUUGUACAUCUUAUGUAGCGUUGCCUGCUACUGUUAUGUGUUUGAACUUGUCUAACAGUGUAAUAUGAUGGCUCAAAAAAGUUUAUGAACGGAUAUUUUGGCAAAAGUUUAUUUAAACCCCCUGACAAUUACUCUUAGACUCAAAUAAGUUCUUGUCAAUUUAAUUAAUCCUUUUAAGCUCUCGAAAAUUACUCUUACAAUCAAAUAAGCCCUUAUAAAUUUAGUUUAUCCCUUUGAGUCCCUGAAAAUUACUUUUAGGGUCAAAUAAGCCCUUGCCAAUUUAAUUGAUGCAUUAAAAUCCCUAUGAAUUGAAAAUUCGCUUUUAUAAGUCGCUAAUUGACAUUGUGUGUGCUCAAUUAAACGCGAGUCCAGCAUGUCUAGUGCCAUCGGAUCAUGCAAGCCUAAAGCUCCUCUUCUGUAUCCAGCAUGGGGCAUUGCCAAAAAGUAUUGAAUUCAACAUUGGACAUGCUGAAUGGCAAUAAUAGUUGCACAGAGAGAGAGAGAGAGA